UCUUCCUUAGUUCAAUAGGUAGAACAUCUGAUUUAUAAUCAGAAAGUUAUUAGUUCAAAUCUAAUAGGAAGAG
rnacentral:tRNA from 1 species